GUGCCAGCAGCCGCGGUAAUACCGGCAGCUCAAGUGAUGUCCCAUAUUAUUGGGCCUAAAGCGUCCGUAGCUGGCUGCGCAAGUCCGUCGGGAAAUCCACUCGCCCAACGAGUGGGCGUCCGACGGAAACUGCACAGCUUGGGACCGGAAGAUCCAAGGGGUACGUCCGGGGUAGGAGUGAAAUCCCGUAAUCCUAGACGGACCACCGAUGGCGAAAGCACCUUGGAAGGACGGAUCCGACAGUGAGGGACGAAAGCUAGGGUCUCGAACCGGAUUAGAUACCCGAGUAGUCC
rnacentral:rRNA from 1 species